GCGGUAACUCCAGCUCCAAUAGCGUAUACUAAAAUUGUUGCGGUUAAAAAGCUCGUAGUUGCAUUUGUGCUGCGCGCUGUCGGUGCACCGCAUCCGCGGUGAUACUGACACGUUUGCGGAGCAUAUCGUCGGUGAGCCGGCGGUCAAACGCCGGUUCAAUAUCAAAAUCCUAUCGCGAUGCUCUUCAGUGAGUGUCGAGGUGGGCCGACAAUUUUACUUUGAACAAAUUAGAGUGCUCAAAGCGGGCUCAAAAUGCUGUUUGAAUAUUUCGUGCAUGGAAUAAUAGAAUAUGAUCUCGGUUCUAUUUUGUUGGUUUUCAGAACUCCGAGGUAAUGAUUAAUAGGGAUAACUGGGGGCAUUCGUAUUGCGACGUUAGAGGUGAAAUUCUUGGAUCGUCGCAAGACGAACAUCAGCGAAAGCAUUUGCCAAAGGUGUUUUCAUCAAUCAAGAACGAAAGUUAGAGGUUCGAAGGCGAUUAGAUACCGCCCUAGUUCUAACCGUAAAUAUGUCAUCUAGCGAUCCGCCGACGUUACUACAAUGGCUCGGCGGGCAGCUUCCGGGAAACCAAAGAUUUUGGACUCCGGGGGGAGUAUGGUUGCAAAGCUGAAA
rnacentral:rRNA from 1 species